GCGAUAUUUAAAAUUUGCAUGGUAGUAACAUAUAGUAUUACGUAGUUCUAAAAAUUUUUCAUGUAGAUUGUAGUAUAUGUUAUUAAGAGUCCUUUUACUAUGUUCUGAAAUAUUGCAUGCAAUUAAUUCUGUAUAUUUCAGCUUUUAGCUGCUAUUCAGAUUAACAUUUCAUUAAAUACAAAUACAUUAAAUACAAAUUCAUCUCUUAGCCUAAAUUCUCGAUGCCCACUAAGCUUGCUGUGUAAAAUUUAGAACAUGCAUAUAUAGCUAUUGCAUUGUUUUCGGGACACCCUGCAUAGAAUUUUGAAAAUUCAUUAUUUGACUUCCUCAGAACAGCUAUAGUGUUCGUAAAGACCACUGAAGAACAGUUCAAUUUGUUUUCCCGUUUAUUAAAAGUAAGGAGUUGAUUACAAAUUGCAAUAAUAAAAUAUGCAUAUACAGGGUGUAUCAAAAAAACCGCAACCUCGGAAUUUCCCAAGAAAUCGACAUUGUUUUAAAGACAAAAGAUUUUAGGCGCCUGGGAAUUUAAAAUAGCACAACUGUCAAAAUUACUGCACACGCGAGUGCAUAAAGCAAAAUUUAUGCAUUUAUUUAGUGCACAACAACAGUAAUAUGAUCUAUUAGCAAUUCGAUUUCAAUUCCCAGGGGUCUAAAAUCUUUUAUGCUUAAGAAUUGCAAAGUGAUUUCUUAGGAAAUUCCGAGGUUGCGUUUUUUUUUAUACACCCUGUAUAUACGCUGCAUACAGUAUAGGGUAUAAAAAAGGAAUUUUAGUGCAUAAUAUUUACGACCCAUGCUAAAGUUGCAGCUGAGGUAUCAUAAUAAAAGGAUAUAUACCUAAUUGUUUGUCACUGUCUAUAUUAAAACAGCAUAUUACAACGUUCAUUGAAAAAAGCUACUAAAAGACGUUUCGAUCCAAUAUAUAUAUUCAAUCUUCGUCGGUUAAACACUAAAUCGUAAUUGUCGUGCUACGAAAUAUAACUACGUGCAUCGUAAUUGUUGUCAUGAUAAACCAUAGUCUUUCGAGACAUGGUCUGGAAAGUCAGUAAACUUCAAAGCGGUUAUAAUGAGCUGUGUGUUUAUGUUGAGACGUACCUUACACCGUGCACAUCCUUUGUUUUAGGUUUAUUAAUAUUUAAAUAGGAUGGUUGAAUGACUGACUGAAACGUUGCUAUUGGAUGAUUCGCCAUUAUACUGAAAUACAAUGUGUUCAUUGACCGUGCACCGUGCACAAAACUGCA